rnacentral:rRNA from 1 species
AGAUUGAACGCUGGCGGCAGGCCUAACACAUGCAAGUCGAGCGGUAGAGAGGUGCUUGCACCUCUUGAGAGCGGCGGACGGGUGAGUAAUGCCUAGGAAUCUGCCUAGUGGUGGGGGAUAACGUUCGGAAACGGACGCUAAUACCGCAUACGUCCUACGGGAGAAAGCGGGGGACCUUCGGGCCUCGCGCCAUUAGAUGAGCCUAGGUCGGAUUAGCUAGUUGGUGAGGUAAUGGCUCACCAAGGCGACGAUCCGUAACUGGUCUGAGAGGAUGAUCAGUCACACUGGAACUGAGACACGGUCCAGACUCCUACGGGAGGCAGCAGUGGGAAUAUUGGACAAUGGGCGAAAGCCUGGUCCAGCCAUGCCGCGUGUGUGAAGAAGGUCUUCGGAUUGUAAAGCACUUUAAGUUGGAGGAAGGUUGUAACUUAAUACGUUGCAAUUUGACGUUUACGACAGAAUAAGCACCGCUAACUUCGUGCCAGCAGCCG